rnacentral:tRNA from 1 species
UAUGUUUUAGUGUAUGAUGCACGAAGAUUUUUGAUUUCUUAGGGUUUGGUUUGAAUCCAAAAUAUAUAA